GUGGNGGAAUGGCCUACCAAGGCAACGAUCAGUAGCCGGCCUGAGAGGGUGAACGGCCACAUUGGGACUGAGACACGGCCCAAACUCCUACGGAAGGCAGCAG
rnacentral:rRNA from 1 species